rnacentral:rRNA from 1 species
GAUGAACGCUGGCGGCGUGCCUAAUACAUGCAAGUCGAGCGAACAGACAAGAAGCUUGCUUCUUUGAGGUUAGCGGCGGACGGGUGAGUAACACGUGGAUAACCUACCUAUAAGACUUGGAUAACUUCGGGAAACUGGAGCUAAUACCGGAUAAUAUAUUGAACCGCAUGGUUCAAAAGUGAAAGACGGCCUUGCUGUCACUUAUAGAUGGAUCCGCGCUGCAUUAGCUAGUUGGUAAGGUAACGGCUUACCAAGGCAACGAUCCAUAGCCGACCUGAGAGGGUGAUCGGCCACACUGGAACUGAGACACGGUCCAGACUCCGACGGGAGACAGCAGUAGGGAAUCUUCCGCAAUGGGCGAAAACCUGACGGAGCAACGCCGCGUGAGUGAUGAAGGUCUUCGGAUCGUAAAACUCUGUUAUUAGGGAAGAACAUAUGUGUAAGUAACUGUGCACAUCUUGACGGUACCUGAUCAGAAAGCCACGGCUAACUACGUG